GGGCCUGUAGCUCAGUUGGUAGAGCGCCACGUUUACACCGUGGAUGUCGUCGGUUCGAGCCCGGCCGGGCCCACCA
rnacentral:tRNA from 2 species